rnacentral:rRNA from 1 species
UUUUUUUUUCCAACCUUUUAAAGUUGUUGCAGUUAAAAAGCUCGUAGUUGGAUUUCGGAAGGUCCUAAGCGGUCCGCCCCUUCGGGGAGCGGGUCGCUGGCCUCCUAUGUUCCUAACGGUCCUCAUCCGCGAGGGUGGGGAAUCAACCGCUAGGAUCGUUUACUUUGAGGAAAUUAGAGUGUUCAAAGCAGGCGUAACUCGCCUCCGAAUACGUUAGCAUGGGAUAAUGGAAUACGACUUCGGUCUUGUUUCGUUGGUUUCGCUUGGCUGAAGUAAUGAUUGAUAGGGACAGUUGGGGGCAUUAGUAUUUAGUUGUCAGAGGUGAAAUUCUAGGAUUUACUAAAGACUGACCAAUGCGAAAGCAUUUGCCAAGGAUGUUUUCAUUAAUCAAGAACGAAAGUAGGGGGAUCGAAGACGAUCAGAAACCGUGGUAGUCUUUACCGUAAACUAUGCCGACCAGGGAUCCGGAGAGUUUGCAUGGAUGACUCCCCGGGCACCUUGUGAGAAAUCAUAAGUGUUUGGGUUUUGGGGGGAGUAUGGUCGCAAGGCUGAAACUUAAAGGAAUUGACGGAAGGGCACCACCAGGAGUG